rnacentral:rRNA from 1 species
UACGUAGGGUGCGAGCGUUAAUCGGAAUUACUGGGCGUAAAGCGUGCGCAGGCGGUUAUUUAAGUCAGGUGUGAAAGCCCUGGGCUUAACCUAGGAAUUGCGCUUGAGACUGGAUAGCUUGGAGUGCGGCAGAGGGAGGUGGAAUUCCACGUGUAGCAGUGAAAUGCGUAGAGAUGUGGAGGAACACCGAUGGCGAAGGCAGCACCCUGGGUCAAGAUUGACGCUCAUGCACGAAAGCGUGGGGAGCAAACAGG